rnacentral:tRNA from 1 species
AAAAAUUUAGUUAAAAUAUAACAUUAGUUUGUCAAACUAAAUUUAUCAAAUAGAUAUUUUUUA